rnacentral:ncRNA from 1 species
UGUUAGCGCCAGACCCAAAGUGGUUAACGAGGAUGAUGUUUAUCGAAAAUUCGGCGGAUGCAUCACGGUUUAUAUAAUCGAAAGAUAUAUUACAAAAAGCAAAAUCAACAUUGUAAUAAAAAAUAUAUC